rnacentral:lncRNA from 1 species
GAAUAUCAUGAUGGUAGAUUUAAUCCUGAUUAGACUCGGAGAGUUUGAUGUAAUUUUCAGAAUGGAUUGGUUGUUCAAAUAUGGAGUAGUAGUUGAUUUCCAAAAGAAGUGUGUAAACCUUAUGACUCCGUCAAAGGUAGUUUUCUAUGGUAGCAAAUUGCCUAGACAAAUGAAAUGUCUGACGAUUAUGCAGUCCAAGAAGUUGG